rnacentral:lncRNA from 10 species
AGAGAGGCUGUGAGGGUGGCUUUGUGAGGAUGGCUUUGUGUGGCUGCACAUUGCCCUUGGCCAAGCCCCGCUGCCAGGAGAGGCAGCUCGGCUGCCAAACCUCCUGAACCCAAGUUACCUGAGCAAGCAGCCCUAUCCCCUCGCCUGCUUCUCACUGCCUCGCCUGCCUUGGGCCUGCCCGACCCAGGGGGUCACAUGCCUUGUUCCCCAUCAGUGGAGACCAGGGACAAGAAGACAGUUCUGUGGGAAGAGCCAGGAGGACCAUUUGGGAAAAUACAGGUUCCAGGUGUGUCUCCAGACCUUGAGAGUUGGUGUCUCCUGGGAAGAGGCCCUGAUGAGAUCUGGGGAGAUUCGGAUCUGAUGAGAUUCAGGAAGCCCUGGCCUCUCCGUACUUGAGGAGACGGGACACACAGGACAAGCUGCAGGCUGGUGAGCAGGUUCACCUUCUAUUUUGAAGACCCGCUUCUUCCUCAGGUACCUGAUCUUGAAAACGACCUCCCCUUUCAGGCCGGCGUGCAGCAGGGCAAUCGUGGUUCACUGCAACCUCGACCUCCCAGGGUCAAGUGAUCCUCCAGCCUCAGCCCCACAAGUAGCUGGGACCACAGACGGUUGAGCCCAUAGAACAGGAGUGAGAAGAUGGAAGGGCGAGGGGGCUGGGAUGAUGAAAACUUGCGCCUGCAGCCACCAUUCAUUACAGAGCGCCGGGGGCCAGCUGCAGAACUGUAGACUCCUCAUACAUCAUCGUGUUGAGUCUUCAAAACAAACCUAUGAGGCUGGAGUGCAGCAGCGCGAUCUCGGCUCACUGCAACUUCCACCUCCUGGUUUCAAGCAAUUCUCCCGCCUCAGCCUCCCGAGUAGCUGGGAUUACAAGCACCCGCCACCAUGCCCGGCUAAUUUUUAUAUUUUUAGCAGAGGCGGGAUUUCUCCAUGUAGCCCAGGCCGGUCUCGAACUCCUGACCUCAAGUGAUCCACCCACCUCAGCCUCCCAAAGUGCUGGGAUUACAGGUGUGAGCCACCAUGCCCCGCCAGCCAUCAGAGUUUUAUAGCAAGAAUUUUUACCUUUGUCCUUAGUGCAAUGGGAAAUCCUUGAAACGCUAUUAUUGCCUUCCUCUGCAAGGAAAGGUUAUUUUGGUGAGCAGUGGAUAGAGGAAAUGCAGAGGGAGCCACUAAAGGGUUCUGGUGAGAUCUGGAGCCCUGCUGGGAUAAUCUGACCAGAGAAAGCAAAGAUUCCAGAGAGCUAGGCACACUUGCCCUACCUCCAGCUGCACACAGCUGGUUCCAGCUUUGUCCUGACCUUCAGUCUGGCAUACAGGGUAGACCCACUGGUACCUGGUACCUCACUCUGGGGGUGAGGUGGCCACCCACCUAGGUCUGGGUCCUGUAGCAGUUUGGCAGCAACAUCUGGGUGAUAAGAGAAGGCGAUUUGACCUACUCCCAGGGACAAGAAGCUUUGACUCUUCAAGAUCAUAAAGUCUUCCCUCCUGGCCUUGGGUCCUCCUGUUGCGGGAGAGGUGAGGUGGGGUGAGGGUCCUCCGGGAGGGCAGGCUUGGCAGAGCCCAGCACCAUCUCAGCAGACACUGCUCUUCUCCUACUCUCAGCACCUCCAAGGCAGUGAGUGGCUUUCUCUUGUCUAGAGGACAAAAUCCGUUCCUCACCUGGACACAAUGAACCUGUCUGUGGGAUUUAGGGAGCAUCAAGGAGGGAAUUUAGUUUCCGCAGACUUCAAGGAAGACUUUCUGGAGGAGGUGAUGCCUGAGAGCUAUCCAGGAGAGAAGAGUGAAAAAAUGUUAAGCAGUGGAAAAACAUGAACCAAACUGUGGCUGCAUCUUCCCAUAGGGCAACAGGGACUUAGCGCGUGCAAUCAAGGAUCUCCAGAUGGGGAUAACCCAGGUGUGCCCAACCUAAUCUCAGUGUCCUUGGAAGAGGGAUGCAGAAGGAGUCAGAAUCAGAGAAGAAGGUGACACGAUGAAGGAAUCCGAAAUUAGAGUGAUGCUCUUUGAAGAUGGAGGAAGGGACCACAAGCUGAGAAAUAGAGGUGGCCACUAGACACUGAAAAAGGCAAGGAAGUGGAUUCUCCCCUGGAGCCUCCAGAAGGAACCAGCUCUGCCGACACCUUGACAUUAGCCCAUUGAGACUGAUUUAAGGGCUGCUGGCCUCCAGAAUUGUAAG